UUGAUGAACCUGAUCCAGAUGACUCAGAAGUAAAAGUAGGAGAUGGAAACAUCCAGGGACCCAAUCAGGACAAUUCUUUAAAGAUUAGAAGCAGGAAAGGCCAAGCCCAUCUAGAUAAGGUUUAUGGAGAACCUGAUCCUGAUGAAUCUCAAGCUGACAGAACUAUGCAGGUAGAGCCUGACCCUGAUGAUGAUUUGGCAGCCUCACAUGAAAUUUCAAGUAUGAAGAUUGAUGAAAGCAUGAUCAUUGAUGAACCUGAUCCAGAUGACUCAUAUGCAAAACAGAGCAAUUCACGACAUAGGAACAUCAAAGGAGCAGAUCAGAGCAAUACUCCUCUGACAGAAAGCAUAGAAGAUGCAGCCUGUCCAAAGAAGGCUUAUAGAGAACCUGAUCCUGAUGAAUCUCAAGCAAAUAGUGUUGUGGGAAUAGAGCCUGAUCCUGAUGAUGGUUUAUUGGCCUCACAGGAAAUAUCCAAUAUGAAAAUUG
rnacentral:lncRNA from 1 species